rnacentral:rRNA from 1 species
UACGUAGGGUGCGAGCGUUGUCCGGAAUUAUUGGGCGUAAAGAGCUCGUAGGCGGCUUGUCGCGUCGGAUGUGAAAGCCCGGGGCUUAACCCCGGGUCUGCAUUCGAUACGGGCAGGCUAGAGUUCGGUAGGGGAGAUCGGAAUUCCUGGUGUAGCGGUGAAAUGCGCAGAUAUCAGGAGGAACACCGGUGGCGAAGGCGGAUCUCUGGGCCGAUACUGACGCUGAUAAGCGAAAGCGUGGGGAGCAAACAGG